UUCGAUUGUGGGGUCGAUGUGUCCUUCCAAAAGCCCUGGCGUUUCCUGUCAGAGGCGCCUGAUCCAUCUGCCUGACCCCAGGCCCUCCCUUCAGCUCUGUGCUCAGGCCGGGUGGGGGUGGGGGCAUCGGUGUCUUGUGUCUUCAGGAAGGACAAGGUUGUCUGGGCCUUCCUCCACCAAGAUGGCGUCUCACUCUGUUGCCCAGGCUGGAGUGCAGUGGCGCGAUCUCGGCUCACCGCCACCUCCCAGAUUCAACUGUGGUUUUGCAGCCUUAGUGACAUCUGGAUAUGAGUUUUGAGCAGGGAAUAUGGAAAGACUACGUUCUCAACCUUCCUAGUAGAUGUGAUGUCAUCAGUUGCAAUUGGGCAGAACAAUGUGUCACUUCAGUCCAAGGCAAUUAAGUGUUAGUGUCAAUCUUUUCCCUCUCCCCUACCCCAAUCUGGGCAGUUGGAAUCAAAUAACUGAGAUUAUGGUGACGUCAGAAGGAUUUAAGUCACUGCUGGGGGAGAACAGUACACCAUCAUUGUCUACUGUGGGAUGAGUAAGAAAUAAGCCUUUGUUGCGUUAAGUGACUGAGAUUUGGAGUUUUAUUUAGUAUCACAUGUGGUGGAUUAAAGAUGGACAGACUUUUCUGACAUUC